CCCCCGUCACCUGAGGUACAGAGUAAGUUGUGAAGUCCCGCGGUGGCGAUUAUCGUAAUAUUUCCCAUCCAUCCGUGCGUCAGGAGGGCUGCGGGUCGUGUGGUGGUGCAUCACAGCGUCAGACUCACAGAGGAUGUGUAGCCGAGGCAAUGACACGUGGACGGCGCUGAUGGCGGCCAGAACCUCUUGGGCGUCUUGGUCACACACGGCCAGGCUGAGCACCCCCAGGUCCCGCCACUCCUGCAGCAGCUGUGUGCCGGCACCACUUAAGUGACCCAUGAACCUCUCAAGGAAGAUGAGCUUCGCGCGACGGACGCAAACUUUCGGAGCGGCGGCCAUGGUGGAGGGCUUGGGACACAGUUCUUCUCGCCAGCAGCCUGCAAAGAAAUUUCCCAAGUGAGGAGCAGGGCAGGAGAGACGUGGUUUGCAAGGCUCAGUGCGGGAGGGAGGGAGUUGAGCCUUGAAGUGGCCGGCCUGAGCACCGGGAUGUGGGGACAAGACAAAGAGGUGGAUGGGAGUAAGAGACACUAUGGCACACGGCAUGGCACGUGUGUUGUGUCCAAACCAUUUGACAAGACAACACGAGGCAAGACUUGACUGUGUGUGUGUGUGUGUGUGUGUGUGUGUGUGUGUGUGUGUGUGUGUGUGUGUGUGUGUGUGUGUGUGUGUGUGUGUGUGUGUGUGUGUGUGUGUGUGUGUGCAAGUAAGUAAGUAAUUAAGUAAGUAAUCAAGUAAGCAAA